rnacentral:rRNA from 1 species
AUUGAACGCUGGCGGCAUGCCUUACACAUGCAAGUCGAACGGUAACAGGUCUUCGGAUGCUGACGAGUGGCGAACGGGUGAGUAAUACAUCGGAACGUGCCUAGUAAUGGGGGAUAACUACUCGAAAGAGUGGCUAAUACCGCAUGAGAUCUACGGAUGAAAGCAGGGGAUCGCAAGACCUUGUGCUACUAGAGCGGCCGAUGGCAGAUUAGGUAGUUGGUGGGAUAAAAGCUUACCAAGCCGACGAUCUGUAGCUGGUCUGAGAGGACGAUCAGCCACACUGGGACUGAGACACGGCCCAGACUCCUACGGGAGGCAGUAGUGGGGAAUUUUGGACAAUGGGCGCAAGCCUGAUCCAGCAAUGCCGCGUGCAGGAUGAAGGCCUUCGGGUUGUAAACUGCUUUUGUACGGAACGAAAAGCCCUGGGUUAAUACCCUGGGGUCAUGACGGUACCGUAAGAAUAAGCACCGGCUAACUACGUGCCAGCCGCCGCGGUAACAC